UUUUUUGCAGAGAACAUAUCAGGGAUGGGGGAGGAGGGAUGGCAAUCGCCAAUCCUCCAGCCCCCUGUGUUUUCUCAUGCAAAUUCGCCUUUUGAGCUUGAAAGCGGCCUUUUCGGCUCCUCCCCCAAACCUCUCCCUGCCCCCUGCCCCCUUCUCUCGGUUCUCUCCUUAGAGUGGGCGAGUCGAUUUCCGCCACCCUUGGCAAGGCUUUUCUAACAAUGGCUCAUUAAUAUUCGGUGGCGCAGGCUUGCCAGGAGAGCGCUAGAGUUCUCAUCUCCCGGCCCUGGGCACCGAAGACCCCUCGGGCUACUUCGAAAUCCCUGGCCCCGGAGGCAGCCCUCCGCCAGCGCAGGCGGGCGCAGUGGGGCGCUGCUCCAAGAUCUAAGACCCAUAAAAACAGGACUUGUCUGGGGUAGCUCCUCCUGGGCCUGAGUCAUCUAUGCAAAAACAAAUUUGUUCCUUUUUGCAGUGUUUGUUGUCUUUGUCUUGAAACGUAGCCUUUACGCUUCCCAAGCAGCAUGCGGGUCCUAAGACUGCGAAGACUUCUUUGACUCUUGCAGACAAGCAUUUUUUGAGGCAUCUAUUAUUUCUAUGGAAUUCUUGACAGACAACAAAGAAUUUAAAAAAAAAUACAACUGUGGAUUUUCUGCUGUCAAGGAAACAAGCUGUUCUCCCCAUUUAAGGAUCCCUUGGUACGCCUGGUGAAAACUUUAUUAACAAUUGAUGAAUACAUUCAAUGGCCUCACAGAAUUCACCUGGAGUCAUUUCUAGAACCACCAUGUGCUAUGGGGCAAGCUUGAUGAGUCUCUGAUUAUGAAUCCCGUCUGUGCAGAAUGCCCCUGGUUUUCUGGAAGGCCUGAGGAGAGGUGCUGAGCCCAGCAGGUUUCCGCCCCAGGAUGUGGAAUAAAGUAGGCUGAUGACAGCUGAAGAAGACUGUAUUUGCUGAGGAGCAGCAUGAGGGUAGAGAGGAGCAGAGCUCCUGAGGGAGACCUAAUGGUUCCUCUCCUUCCUGCACGGAGAUAAAGACUUAUAAUAAGCGUGUAUGUUCACCAUCUGGCUCUGCGCAUGUGGUCCUUAUGGAGGAGAGAGCAGCGCAAUCUGUAAGUGAUCAGGAGCCAUGGCGCUCUCUCCAGAGAAUCCACGAUGCAAUCAAGGUGACAGAUGGCAUGGCCACUGCUGUGGCCUCAUGGAGAAGAUCAAAAUCACCUUCAAUAAACUCUGACUGAAAUGGGCAUGAGCACCUCAAAAAAGUCAGUUUGUCAGUCAAACUGCCGCAGCGAGCUGCACUGGGGACACGCAGCGGCCAGCUCUCUGUUUUCAAUCGUUUCCGUCUGACUGGGCCUGAACUAUGAUCUUUCUCAAAUUGUCCUUUCUGUUUAGCUGAAGCAGGCCAGCAAAUUGCCAGAUUCAUGGCUUUAUUGAAGAAAAUUGAAAACACGAUGUCCUCAAUUCCGGGGACGCACAGCUGGCCAGGGCUGGGACACCCAAGCGCAGACAGUGGACCCCACUUCUUCGGCUCAAGUUUGCCCAACUUGAGGGAGAUUUUUGGACACGAAAAUAAAAUGCAAAUGUGUGCCUGGCAGUAGUUAUGUAAGGGGUGUUAGGUAUCCAAUAAAAUGUUGUAGAAUAAAUAAAUGAUUGAAAAGAGAAAGAGGAAAGAAGGAGAGAAGUAAAUAAACUUUCGUGUUGUUAGGAUUAGGCAUUUUCACAGCAGACCACCGACCUGAUGGAACUGAUAUCUGUUUCCAUUUCUAUGCAUAUUUAUUGCCCAUGGUUUUCCAUGGACUUGAAGCCUUGGGCAUAAGGUCGAUGGAAUAUAGAUACAUUAUUUUGUCCUCAGCAGUUCAUAUGGAGUUGCAGGGGCAGCAAGUUCAGACAAAUUUCCAUUUCUGUUCCCCCCAACUGAAAAAUUUCCAAAUGCUCCAACUGCUUCUAUAUCUAGCAGGAAAUGAGUAUAAGCUACCUGCAGGAGAAGAAAAAUAUACUACUCUGCUUUGCUAAGUAAGGAUACUGAUUUGGGGGUCAAAGAUGAUGGAUCUUAAUGAAAGAAACCUCUCCCCCUCCAUCUCCCUCCUCCUCAUUUGGCAGAGUUCCACUGUUGUUCUUUCUCCCCAGCUCCAGGAACUGUGGAUUGAAAGCAAAAGUCGACUUUCCCAACCUGGUGUUUUCCCCAAGUACCCAAUAUCUGCUGUCUGGUACUAGUGUUUUAUAUGUCUGCGAGGGAACUUAUAAUAUUUCAACUUCCCAUUGGUUUUCCUGUUGGAAACUGUAACCUUCUGGUUUUGUGUUCUUGCUUCAUUUAAAAUCCAAAUCCUGCUCCUGCCUGUUCUUCAUCCUCCAUGUUGUAAAUUAUUUAUUUUGAUGAUUCAGAAAUAUUUUAUUGUUGGGUCCUGGAUUCUCAUAAAGUCAUGAUUCCUCUUAUAGGUGCAAUCUGAAUGCUAAUGUUCUGGUGCAGACAUUUGUAACUGUAACUUAAGGGGCCUCAUUCCUAAUCUGUGUACACAAAAUAAGAGAAACCAUGACAAAAGGCUCACAUUUUGAGUGACAGGAAUGGGUAGCUCUUGAGACAGAACUGUCUUUUUACAGGGCAUACAGGUGGGGCAGACUUAUUCCUUAUCACUGUGAGGCGUGGCUUCCUGGAAUGGAAGACUAAAUUUAUUCAGGGGGAAAUACUCACUGAAUGCUGAAUACCUACUAGGGGCCGGCUUUGCAGAAUUAAGCAAUAAGUCUCUGUAAAGGAAAACAGCCAUUUUCAUGGGCACGGUUCUCUGCCUGCCUGCCCUUUCUUGCCUGGAUCUAGCUCUUGGGAAAAGGCAUUGCACCCCUGUCAAUGUUCAGCUCUUGUGCAAUAGCAGGGCCCCAUGUGGGCUGCUGGGAGCAUGCUAUUGUUACACAGGAGAUCCUGUGUGAGAUCUCAUCUUGGCCUUUGGCUUUCUGUAAUGACAGGUUCUGUAAUGGACAUGUUCAUCAAUGCUGCCACCAGGCGGGGUGGCAGGAUGGGUCAUUUCUGUUUUAGUAGCAGUUCAUUCUCUCAGACUCUUGCUGCAAGGAGUAAUGCUUCCAAAAGGCAAUAGGCCCAACCCUUCCUUGAGGGAAAGAUUGCAUGGGGAGAUUCAGCAGGGUCCAGAUGGAUAAGGUAGCUUACAUUGCAACAUGAAUAUUCUGAAACAUAUGUCCAGCAUGAUAUUUAGUAAUCAGAGCUUGGCCUAAAUUCAGAUAAUUAUGUUCUAUCUUUUUGUGGCAUGGACCAUCAUCUGAUCUUUGCAAGUUAUAUAACCAUAUAUUAUUACUCUCCUUUGUAUUUGUACUGUUGUUCCCGAAUAACACAUUACUUUAGAGAAAGCUUCUUGAGAUAAUGUUAAAAACUUCAGUCAGCAGAACUUAUGCAUGUGCAUUUGCUAUCUCAAUUUAUCCAUCCAUCUAUUGUCUAUCUAGACACAGGGGGCAGGGGUAGGAUCUAUAGAUCUUUGGGUUCCACCUGCCCCUGGAAUUCAUAAAGGAGCAGCCACAGGAGAAUGGCCCACAGUCACAAUAAGGGAAGUGACUCCAAAUGAACUAAGUAAUUUUUAAUUAUGGAGGUUUUUUUUUUUUUUAAAUAAGUACAACAUUGAAGAAAAGGCUACACAGAAAUUUAAACACCCCCACCCAUGCACACAAAGGUGUGAGUAUGUGUUGAGAUUUCUAGUGAGAUGAUAGAAAUAUUCAGAUUCUUUUUCCUGUUUGGUGAGCUCUUGAUUACUCCAAGUUAUUUAAUGCAUUCAUAUCAAAUCUUUCUCUAUUAACUUUAUUAGAUUAAGGAAUAUGCAUCUGCAAAAAUGUGCUUAUUAAGAGAAAAAUUAAAAGUAGAUCAUGUCAUUAGUAAAUGUAUACCUUAUAAUAUAGGCCAAAAAUGUUAUGUUUUUGCAGAUUCUCUUUGUCUUGAAAACAAAAAUGCAGUAAGCAUAAAUAAGGAAAUGCAAAAGGGAAGCAUCUUGCACGUGCAGCAUUAAUAUUCCUAUUUUAAUUGUCUAACUUUAUUUUAGAUGAUCAGACUGCAAAAUACCCAUCUGAAACAUAUGUACAAUGAGUCUGGCUUUAUUAUGAAAGGACUGUGGAUUCAUAUAAUUUUUAAAAGGCAAAAUAUCAAUGCUGAAUAAUACAUUUUAUCAUUGAAUAAAGCAACCUAAAGAA